GUCAGAGGCAUACUCAUCUCCCUCCAUUGUCCUAGCUGCCAGGGGUGCCCACGGGAAUAGGGUUAUCUUCGAUGACUACCGUGAAGCAUAUUUUUGGCUGAGGCAAAACACUCCUCAGGAUGCUAAGGUGAUGUCUUGGUGGGAUUAUGGUUAUCAGAUCACUGCCAUGGGAAACAGGACUGUGAUUGUGGAUAAUAAUACCUGGAACAACACACAUAUAGCUACAGUAGGAAGAGCAAUGUCAUCUUAUGAGGAUGAA
rnacentral:misc_RNA from 1 species